UUAAAUUGAAGAGUUUGAUCAUGGCUCAGAUUGAACGCUGGCGGCAGGCCUAACACAUGCAAGUCGAACGGUAACAGGAAGCAGCUUGCUGCUUCGCUGACGAGUGGCGGACGGGUGAGUAAUGUCUGGGAAACUGCCUGAUGGAGGGGGAUAACUACUGGAAACGGUAGCUAAUACCGCAUAAUGUCGCAAGACCAAAGAGGGGGACCUUCGGGCCUCUUGCCAUCGGAU
rnacentral:rRNA from 1 species